UUGAAAAGAAGGUUAUAAACAUUGUUUCUCAUUUCAAUACAUUAUCUUUCUCAUUUCAUUACAUUAUCUAUGCAUUUCAUACAUUAAUAUCUUUCUUGGCCUUACAUUGUCAGAAGGAAGAUUAUUGUUGGCCUUACAUUAUCAGAAGGCGAAAGCAAAACUGAAGUGCUAUACUAAUUGGUGAUAUCUUUUUUGAGUCAGAAAGAUACCAAGCAUUUUCUUCAUCCUCAUCGUCGUAGUUGUUCAUGGCCUCCUGAAGAUGCAGCAGUUCCCCCACACUGAUUUCUUCAUCCAAUCUCCAAGUGUUCAGACAAUUUUCUUCCAUUUCCAGCAGCUCAUCCAUGGAGAUAUCAAAAUCGUCAUUGUGACAAUGUGUACCAUUAUCCAUUAGUGUACCAAAGUGAGAGUGUGUGUUGUGUAAGUGAGUCUGAGAAAGUAGGAGAGUUUUUUUUUUUGUAAUAUUGUAAACAAUCUACUGUUGGAGAGAGGACCUGCUUCAUCUUUUAUAAGUAAAAAAUUUGUAAAUGGUUGACUUUUAGGUUUUGGUGGGAAAUAAAAAAAAACCCAAAAUUUCA